rnacentral:rRNA from 1 species
UACGUAGGUGGCAAGCGUUGUCCGGAUUUACUGGGCGUAAAGAGCGCGCAGGCGGUCGUUCAAGUCGCGUGUGAAAGCCCCCGGCUCAACUGGGGAGGGUCACGCGAUACUGAUCGACUCGAAGGCAGGAGAGGGAAGUGGAAUUCCCGGUGUAGUGGUGAAAUGCGUAGAUAUCUGGAGGAACACCGGUGGCGAAGGCGGCAUCCUGGACCGAUACUGACGCUGAGGAGCGAAAGCCAGGGGAGCAAACGGG